AAGGAAAAUAAAAUCCAGCAAAUCACAAACUACUAUCUCCUCCCCCUCUCUUCCCUCUCCUCUUUUCUCCAUCGUCAGAUCUAAAAACUUUUCAUUCUUUCUUUCUCUGUUUCUCCCUCUCUCCCUCCAACUCUCGCGCCAAAUACAAAACCACCCUCUCCUCUCCCUCUUUCUUUCUCCAGGUAAUACCUAACAACCUCCUCCUCUCUCUCUAAAACCAUCUCACCUAGGGUUUUGAUCUCCUUCAAUUCCACUCUCUUCUCUACUUUCCGUCUCAACAUACGUAUACUUGUCCGUUUCUGUUUUCUUAGUGAGAUGGCGGAUAAUCCGACGAGUCCGGCGGCGGGGAGCCACGAGAGUGGUGGUGAACAGAGCCCGCGGUCAGGGGUGAGAGAGCAGGAUAGAUACCUGCCAAUUGCUAAUAUAAGUAGGAUCAUGAAGAAGGCGUUGCCAGCUAAUGGAAAAAUUGCCAAGGAUGCUAAGGAUACUGUUCAGGAAUGUGUUUCUGAGUUUAUUAGCUUCGUUACCAGCGAGGCGAGUGAUAAGUGUCAGAAGGAGAAGAGAAAGACAAUCAACGGGGAUGAUUUGUUGUGGGCAAUGGCAACAUUAGGAUUCGAGGACUAUAUUGAUCCACUUAAGGUGUACCUGGCUAGGUACCGGGAGGUAAUUAGUCUUUGAUUUUUAGGUCGUCUGUGCUCUAGUUUAUGAUUGAUUUUGUUUUAAUUUAUAGGUUGUUUUGGAAUCUAAUCUUCUGACUCUUCUUUUUUCUCUGGUUUUAUUGGAUGAUGCAAUGCCACAGCUGGAGGGUGAUGCAAAGGGAUCUGCUAGAGGUGGAGAUGGAUCUUCUAAAAGGGAAGCAGUUGGAGGUCUGCCUGCUCAAAAUGCACAGUUUGCUCUUCAAGGAUCCAUGAAUUAUAUAAGCCCACAAGGACAGGGACAGCAUAUGAUCCUUCCUUCCAUGCAAGGCAAUGAGUAGGAUUUGGCUUUGCUUUUGUCAAUUCAAUGAAUUCUAGUGCUGGCAGAACUUUUUAGUUUCAACACUUGUAGAGUCUUUUGCAUUAGUUGAUCUGAUUGAAACCAAAGCGCUAUGCAUUUUGGCGGCUUUGGUAGUUGGUUAUUGUUGGAGGUGGUUUAAAUGUGGUUGGUGCCGUCAUCAGCAGAGCAGCUUACUGGUCAGAUUAAGUUAUGUAAAUUUGCCCUUUAUCUAAUAUAUACUCUUCCGAGUAUUGCUAGGA